ACAAUAUUUAAGGAAUAAAAUGGCACCACAUAUGGUUUAAAUAGACCAAAAUAUGAUAUCAAACGCCGGUUUACAAAAUGGACAGUGACAGCGUCCAAACAAGAUGGCGGAUGCGAAUUACACUUGACAAGUAAGUUGAGUUCAAUAAAAUGAGAAAAACUGCAUUAAAUGCAUUUACAAAAACAACCCCAUUUAGCCAUCAGGCUUAAACAACAACAUAUUAUAUUAAUAAAGGGUGGCCUGUUCCAACUUAUAUAACUAAUAUAAGCAAAAUCUUAAAUAGCAGCAAGUAAAUAAUUACGUUUGUCCCAGUAAUAAAACCACAUUUCAAUAUUGGUUAUGGUAUAACCGUUAUAUAAAUAUAUUAAUUAUGCCUCAUUGAACUUGAGCAAAUGCUAAGUUACGUAAGAAUAAAUAACAUCAUUCAUUUGACCACAGUAACAUACAAUAAGAAUAAAUAUCAUGACAUUAUUCAUUGGAAUAAUGUUAUUCAACUGUUAAAUAAAUACAAUGUAAUAUAUUAAUUAGAUAAUUAUAUUUGUGACAAGUUACACUUGUUACAUUCAUCCCCCUGUACCUUAAAGAAACUUGUUUACUUAUAUCUAUUGAAAUGAUACAUUUUAAAAUUUGAUUCAUGUCUUGUUAUUGGUUGAACUUGACAUUGUUAUUUAUUAUACAUGUUAAAAUGAUAUUUCCAUCCCCUCUAUCACAGUCAGGAGUUCGUCUGUAGAUGUGUCCCGAUGCACGAAAGUUUGUUCUACCAUCUGAAGGAUGAGUUGUUUUGUGUUCCUUCCUUUCACCAUAUCGGAUAACAGGCAAUAGUUGGAGAUUCGCAUUCUUCUUUCGGAGCUGGUCCGCGGUUGGGGAAUGGUGCCAGGAAAAAUUAAAAAGUUGAACUUAUCCAUGAUUUGAUCAGGAUCUGUUACUGGAAUCCCUUCUACUGAGUCCAACAUGUUGGCCACAUGUUGGGCAACCGCCAACCUUUUUGCCGGGCUCAUCAGCCGCCAGGCUUUUGGGGGCCAGUCCAUAGUGAAAGAGGGGCCCUUGAAUUGGACGGUUGGCAACCGGUCCCAGUUCCGCCUUGCCGGAGGAACUAGUGGCAUGCAACCCCAUGUCAGGAGGUGAAGAGCCCUCUACUGUAGGGUCAUUUCCUCCUGCAUGUGUUUAUUCUGUUCCUUCAGCAGCGGCGUCUAUGGGAGAAAUGUCUCCACGGGUGGCCUUGUCGGGGCUGAGUUGAAUGAGAAGGCCGGUCCCUCGAUUGGCGUAGCAGUGUAUACUGUGGUCUCUUCCAUUUUUGGUAAUGGUACAGGGAGUCUUCCUCCAGUGGGGAGCAUGGCCGGCUUGGUAGGGCUAUAAGCUUCAACCCCAGGAGUUGGACUCCCUGAUUCUUGUAUGGUUGGGGUGUCUGCUGUUUUCCCCUCCACUAACUUCCAGCCCGCCUCCCAGUGUUCCAUUUUCUUAAGUUUUGGGGCCUGUGAAGUCUCCCGCCACACCUUUACUGCUUCCAUUGCCUCAUUGGCCGCCUGGGUUGUGAAUACGAGAGGUUUUACAACCUUGCUGUAGUCCUUGGGAUAUAGAGCUAGAUAAAAUGCUGCGGCCUCCGUAAAGAUGUCCUGAUUUAAGCCAUCAGCAAUGGCCUUGGCCAGCGCCCAACUUGUCGCUUCAAAUCAUAUGGGCGACUCAUAAUGGUUGGCACAUCCUCUACACACCAUGGGCAAAUUAUGUCCAACCGUUGGUGUUCCGUCCCAACAUGGCGUUCAAGCGCUUUUCUUAAAUGUAGAGCCGCAGGGCAUAACCAGCAAAGUUGCUGUAGAAUCUGUAAUGUUGUAAAUAUUAUACAUGUAAAAUGUUAGUCUUGUUUUUUUUUCAUUAAAAGACUAGUUUUCUUUUAAAUAUUGGUCAUUGCAAUCCGUUUCAUUAUACUAUAAUGUUUAAAUGCUAAAAUGUUUGUAUAUUUAGCAUGAGGUCAAUUCAAAAAGUCAUUGUACAUUGCAUAGUUAUAAUAGUUUUGCCUGGUGAUCACUGUUCGUAAUAUAAUAAUUUCGAUUUUUCAGGAAAUCCUUCAUCUGAUGGAAUUAUACACUUCCUCAAGGAAUAUUUUCUCCUUGAACCACGAUGGCCGUCUUAACAACAAGUGUUGCACAUAUUUAUGUGUGUCUUCUUGGGAAGUUGAUUCUUCUUCCGGUGUGCCGAUGACAACAGCCAUGGGCAACAGAACCUCUUUUCCAAAAAACAUUUUGUUUGGUGUGAGCCCAGUGCUGGCAUGAGGUGAAGACCUGAAGUGGUCCAGUAACAUCCACGCAGACCUUCUCGAUUGCGUUGUAUACUGGAUUUUGCCAUAGUGGAGCCCUGGCCUUGGGUGCUGGUUUCCGAGCAGCACAAACAUCACAUUGGUGGAUGUACUUUUGAAGGUCAUCUUUCAACGCUGACCAAUAACAACAGUCUGGAUUACACCCGAGACGAGCUGCACAGGCUGAUUUUGAGCGACUGGUUCAACUAAGGCUACUGGUGCCAAGUGUUCCUGACUAGGGAUUUUUACAGACACCCACAUGCUGCUAUGUGCCGUUGAGUUGCUUGAUGGCUGCUGCUGGGCCUUUUUUGGUGCCAUCAACGAAGACCCUACUGGGUUGACGGCCUGCCGUUUUCCGGUAAACCUACGACAGUCGGCUGUGUGUACGGUGCCUGGUGAGGUGCUGGAUACCCCAUCCUCUGUGGUGCCUGAUAACCCAUUGAACGCUGGCUGUUGUAGGCAGGUCGCUGACGCGUAGGGCAGUCUCGAAUCAUAUGUUGUGGCGACUGACAGUUAUAGCACAGUCUGGGACCAGACCUUGCAUAACUGUAUGGAGGCUUGUUGUUUGUGGAUUGAUCCAUUAUCAGCUUCCGCACACAUUCUUGUAGGUCUUGUACCGCCUUCUCGAGUGGCUGACUCGACUUGUCGACUUUCGCUUGCUGUUCCGGCACAUUUUCCACCAUAUAAAUGGAUGCUUUACGUCUAGCACCGCCGUCCAAGAUGCUCUCGUACAUCUCCACUAGAGCAAUCGCCUGCGUAACAGACUGGCAACCCUCGCUGAUACACUUGAACUUGAGUUCUAGGCUGAUCGAUUUGUACAACUGGUUAAGCGCAAGCAUGUCAUGAUUAAAUUCUAUACACAAAAUGAUUACCUUUAAUAAAGAAUUAUAUUGUGU